ACUGGCGGAUGAAGAACACCAACACCAUCCACUUCACCAACCCAGUGUACCAGAAGAAAACAGACGACACCGUGCACAUCUUCAGGAGCUCCAGUCUAGACGGAUACUCACAUCCUUCGUGCCAGAUGAUCAGUAUGGAUGAAGACGCAGCCUGACGCUCCUCCAGAAGCUGAAGGACACGUUAAUGCUGCUCUGAAACUUUAACAGUCAGCUGAAGGAAACUCGUCCUCAUGUGCGAAACGACCCCAGGAUCAAGCUUGAAUUUUAUAAUGCCUGUAUGAUAUAAGGAAUGAAGACACACACACACACACACACACACUCACUCCUGUCUAACGGAUGUCAUCACAGGUGAAGAUCUCAAACAGACACUCUUCAGGAGUCUGUGGCUUUGCUACAAACACACCGCUGUUUUCAUUUGUGUUUGUGAGCUUUUAAGAUCCUCUUAUUGAAGGUAUUACCACUUUAUGAUAUUUAAAUGAUCCUUGUAAAUAUGUGUGAGUAUGUGAAGGGCAGACAGGUGUCUCUCUCUUCUUGCACUGUAUAUAUGUUGACUGUCACAGACUUUAUUUAUGUUUCUCCUUCACAGACAGACUUGAACAAUCUGUUUGACUUUGUUUUGAUGAAGUGCUUGUAUGAAUGAAUGCACAGCGCUGCUGCUUUAGUAAUAAUGACUCGUUCUGUUACUGCUGCGCUUCGUCUGCUCAGGCGUGUAGAUCUGGGCCUUAAACCUGAUGGUGCCUGUGCAUUGUGUCAUAAUGUUUGAAUGCCUUCGGCGCGCGAGAGCGAAUCUGUGCUCGGGGAGAUUCAGCUGACCUCUGACCUCACCUGUCCGUUAGAGUCACGCUUAUUUAUUAGCAGGCUUGUGCGGUAUGUUAUCUGAAGGAUCGCAGCAAACGCUACUCAAACAUCUGCAGGUUUGUCUCUAAAUACUCGCCUGCAUCACACCGUCUUAAACCCAAGACUGUACGAAGAACACUUAUUUAUUGUGUAAACGUAUGAUUUUGCUUUUCUCUCUUAAAUGUAUUGUUUGUUUAUCAGAUGUGAUAUUGAAAUGUCCUCCAGAAAUCGAUGUGCACUACUGAGGGAAUGAACCUGCGCGUCAUUCGACGACAUUCAGGGACUUUUAUAUGUUUAUGAAGAAUGAAACCCGAAUGUGAAGGAAAGCUCUUGGACCGGACCGGUGAAUCUCCUUGUGUGGUUUGAGGUCAGGUUUACUCUGGUGUGGAUCGGAUGAACCCGCUGCUUUAUCUCAGGACUGAUGGGCCAGUGAUCUGAAUGCUCUACAGCUUUAGAGAAACAACUCGUCUGUUUUUGACAUUGUUUUUCAAUAAAUGCACAUUUUGAACCCAGAAA